rnacentral:rRNA from 1 species
UGAGGCAAUGGUUAAAAGAAAUAGUCGCGGCGGCAUCAGUACUGCAUCGUGAGAGGUGAAAUUCUUAGACCGAUGCAAGACUAACUGAAGCGAAAGCGUUUGCCGAGGAUAUUUCAUUAAUCAAGAACGAAAGUUAGAGGUUCGAAGGCGAUCAGAUACCGCCCUAGUUCUAACCAUAAACGUUGCCAACUAGCAAUUGGAUUGCGAUUCCUUUAAUUGGAGCCUAAAAAAACUCCAAUCAUUAUGAUCCAUCCAGCG